CCAGCUCAUCGCCACCCCGCCAUCCCCCAUUCUGAAGAGGUUUCCGUGUGCCCGUGACGUGCGGGACACCGGGCUACAGCCAACCAUGGGGUUGUUCCCCUCGGCACGUCACUUCCCCUCUCCCGCCCCCAGGUGAGAUCGCUGGUGCUCAGAGAUGUCAAACAAGUCGCCUGAAGUCACACAGCUGGUGAGCAGCAGAGUCUGAAUGCAAACCCAGACCCCCGGGUCCACGGGUGGCUUCCCACCCUCUGCUGUGCUGUCCUAUCCCUUCGUACCGCCAGCACACAUCACCCGACCGCCUCCCCCACUCGACCACGUCCCCCCCGAGGGUGGGAGCCGCUGUCUCCGUGUUGAACCCACAGGACCGCACACAGUGCCUGACCCAGCAGAGCAGUUUCUACUAAAUGUUUACUGAACAAGUAAAUGACCGCACGAAUGCCUAA